ACCAUCAACCUCAUCUCCUCCCUCCUCUCCUCACCUCUUUCUCUCCGUCUGCUGCCGCUGCUCUCACAUCACACUCCUGUCUGUCUGUCUGAUGCGCUUUCUAUCCGGUAAGAGAGGAUUUUUAUGCACAAUAAAGGAGCCAGUUUAUGAUGAAUGCAGCAGGGAAAAUACACGAAGAUGUGAAGAGGGGGGGGAAAGCCACUAAACAAGAACAGGAGCUGUUAUGCACGUGAGAAACACGGGAUACGAGGUACAUCUCUCUCUCUCUCCCUCCCUUUCUCUCUCUCUCUAACUUGAUGCUACUGUAGGCCUAUUUAAAUGAACUGCAUAUUCCUUUAUUCUCUUAAUCAACACGAGAGUCUAAUUGGAGGUAUAAUUAUUGGAUUAAAGUCAAUAUUAUAAAACACGAAAUAGGUGAAGUGUUGUGUGCGUAAUUUUAGAUAUAUUUCAGUGUUUUAUUUUACUAGAGUUUCCGUAUUGGUGGUGUAAUUUGAUUAGAAUCAGAAUCAGAAUGUCCUUUAUUGUCAUCAUACUAAAAGUACAACCAGAUUGGAGAGCUUCUCUUUUUCCAGUGCAGUAGACAGGUAAAAAUAAGGUAGUAAAAGUAGUAAUAGUCGUAAGAAAGAAGGUACUAUAUAAACAAGACGAGUAUUUAUUGGUGCAUGUAGUCUUAAAGAAAAUUAAGUUACAUCUGAAAACGAAGCCAUAUUCCAAGUCCUAGCAAUCUCUCUUAAAUUAUUGCAAGCUCAUUUGUAUUAAAACUUGUUAUGGCGAAUAAUUGAUGAGUUUAAUUGAGAUAGUGUAAUAACAGCAACAUGGUCACAAUCAUUUUACGCAUGAUACGGCCUUUAGAGAGCCAAAGACUCAGCAGAAAAUCUCACCCAUGUCCUGACAGGUUUUUUUUUUCCUAAUCUCGCGAUUAAUCGACGCUAAAGUUUCUGCAAACUCCUGAAUACUUAAUGAGGCCAUGUGCUCAUGAGAGAAGUAUUCGUGUAUUAAGAAGAAGAGGAGGAGGUGGAGGUGGUGGAGGAGGAGGUGGAGGAGGAGGCCCGGGCAGCGCUGCAGUGCAGAGUUCAGCAGAGAUAUUGUUGUGAGCCUGGGAAAGUGUAGCGGGGCUGACGCCAGACUCGGUCAGGCAGGGAGGGGGGGCACCUCGAGGAUCCCAGACCGGAUUGUCAUGCUAAUGUCUCCCCGGCACGUUGUUGAACUUGAUGUUGACUUCUUUCUUUACUGGGGGGUGAGACAGAAGGGGAGGAGGAGGAGGGGGGUGAAAUUUUCCCUGUCACUUGUUUGUGGGAAAAUCCAAGUGAGGACACACACACACACACACACACACACACACACACACACACACACCAGUUUUUAACAGUCACUACAGUUGAUUUAAUCCUGAUGCAUUAUAUUUCUCAGAAUUAAUACAUUCAAUUCAACUGUAUAUCUUAAAAACCCAAUUGGCUUGUGGUUAAACAUCUUGAAAUACUAACUUGAACAACUCAAACAUUUAUUCCAACAAAACAAGUAUUUUAUGGGAUUGCUUUCAAGUGCUAAAUUUUUGCUUAACUCGGAUAUAGAAAAAACUCUUGUGCAAAAUCUGACCAGAACAGAGUCUAAUAUUUAUAUUUAAUUCAAAAUUGUAAUUUUAAAUUGUGUCUUUAAUUUGUUUCUUGGAUUGAACAUGUCUCUUCAGAAUUUGAGUUUGCAAGGAUACAGAGAUACACGUGCAUUCUCACGCCCUCCUUGCGCAUGCUCAAGAGGAUUGACAUUUGUAGCUCCAGUUAAAAUGCAAAUGCAGUAACGAUGGGUUAGUUUUAAAGGAAGUGUGUGUAGGCCUUCUUCAGCCGUGCACAGUGUGAUGUUAGUUCAAUUACAUUAGGACAGCACUAGAGUCACAGCUGAUUACAUCUACUUAGAAAUGAUGAAGAGUCCGGCUCCUCAUAAAUGAUGAAGAGGAGAACAGCAGUGAUACAGUAUGGAGGAGGUGGUCCUGUGCUGCACCUCCAUGAUACUAACAGAUUGCUCAUGCGCAAUAAUCAGAUAUGUAGCUGCUAUCUGAUGCAAGCUUCGUUGGGAAACCCGGACUGUAGCUGCUCUAUGCUCUGUUAUUGGUUUACCUUUACACACACACACACACACACACACACACACACACACACACACACACACACACACUCCAGCACCUUUUUAAAUAUCAUUUCAAACUUUGAAAGAUAUUACAAGUUGCUAUUCUCGUCUCUGCUUGGCUUCUUUUAUCAAACAGUGUGAUUAUUAUCGCUCGCACUAUCUCAUCUCCUCAGCACAGAUAUCUUUCAUAUCAUAACAUCACUAUCGAUAAGGCUGCAUAUAUUCCCUGAAUAUGUUAUCAGAGUUUGGCUAGCUGUGGGUCCUCUCUGCACCAAGGACAGGAACCAGGAAUUCCUCUGCUCAGUAUGAAUUUCUGUAUUUUUUGUUGGCUAUACUAGACUUAAAAUCAGUGCCCUUGCAGCAUCUUUUUGUCCUCUGCACAUUAUAGACACCUAAGAUCAGAAAAUACACUAUAAUAUUUUUUAUUAAUGCCCCACAAAUGCCAUUAAAGGUCGUAUAGCCUAUUUAAAAAAGCUAUAACAAUAAGAAUGGGGAAAAUGUGCUCUAAAAGCCACAGUCAACCUACAUACAGAAGUAGGGCAGCUGAGAUACUUUAUAACGUAUCUGGUUAUAUUUUUACAAUUAGCUACACAAUAUAAAAGAGAGCUAACGCUUUCAUCUCAAGUUGUUUUAUUAACGUUUUUUGUUUUAGCCUCCUAAACUGACCUUAAAAACCUUAAUUAAAUGAAACAUCUCGACAGCUAUUUUAUGUUGAGGAGUAUUAGCUUAUAACACAACAACAGUUCUGAUAAAUAAGCUAAAUGCUCUUUGAAGAUGGCUGUUUUUUUCUCCAGAAUAUUGAAUUCGAGAGAUUUUUUCUGGACUGCUAUGAACUACAAUUAUAAAAAUAAAGAGCAGUUGUCAGAGAAAUUUCUACCGUAUGGGUUUUUCAUACAAUGCUGAAUUAAUUUCACCAAAAUAUACCUUUUAUCGAUGUUAAAAACUGUAAAUGUCACAUAACUCCACCUGCCCCCCCAUUCCCCCUCUUUUUAAACUUAUCUUCACGCGCUUCUUCUCUGUCUUCUCAUUGGUCUGUUGUCUAAUGAGGAUAAUUGGUGCAAUAAACCACUGAUUGACGCACACCUGCUUUCAAUUUCCAAUAGGCUUUAAUUACUCUCUCUCUCUCUCUCUCUCUCUCUCUCUCUCUCUCUCUCUCUCUCUCUCUCUCUCUCUCUCUCUCUCUGAGGCGGAGUUUGUCCCCUCUGCUCUCUCUCACUGGGUGCACGCUCUGCACUUGUCAGUCAGUCGCAGCUCGCGCGUGCGGGAGGGAGGGAGGACACAUUGAAGCUCAUAGAAAGCUCGUGCGACAGUUUUAUCCUCGAUGAUUAUUUGUUUUUUUUUUUACUCUAUUUCCUCUGAUUGGAUGCGUUCAGAUCACGCAUCGAUCUCGGCGGGAUUGAAAUAGUUGGAGGAUAUUGACUGGAGUGGAGUUAGCUUAAUGUGCAAGUAAGUGGGAUGCUGCCUUUAUGUGAUUGAGUUGUCUCUGGCUUCUGUGUAUUUAUAUUUUAUUUUAGUCCACAGCCUGCUUUUUAAAGGCAGUUGCAUGUAUUCCUGGAGGCUGCUUAAUUCUGGUGUGUUUCUUGUAAACUGUAGCUGUGACAUUAGCAUUAAAGGAUGUUUGGUGGGAACUUUAUUGUCUUAAAGGCCCACUGCUGUGUGCCUCAAAACUGAUGCAGUCCUAACAAUGUAUAUAUAAAAAAUAACAACAACCCUGACAGCCUAAAAAAUGGGUUUAUUUACCACCAAAUGAUUGGGACAGGGUUGCAAAUGGAUGGGUUAGUGUGUCUGAUAAGGCCUUGCUUCAAGUGUUUCAAGGCAAAAAGUGCCACCUCAGCAUCAAACCGAGACUGUGGUUGAGCAUGCUUAGAGUUUUGGCAUCACAGUGUGUUUUAAAAUGGUUUCUUAAAGUUGAACUUCAUGAUGGGCCGAGAUGUGUGAGUGUGUGUGGAUGUGAAACACGUCUUUGAAGCCAGUGCCUCAUUUUAUUCAUCUAUUGAACUUGUUUUCAUCUCCUUAUGAGAAUUUCACAGCUGAAAUCCACGGUAGAGCUUUUCUUUUAUUGUGCAUCUUGUCUAUAUGUUUUGUGUGUGUGUGAGUGAGUGAGUGAGUGUGUGUGUAUGAGGAGCUCAGUGUGAACACAGGCAGCCUCUCUUUCGCUCUCUCUCCCUCCUUCAUCCUCUCCUCUCUCUCUGUUGGUGUUGGAGGGGCGGCCCCUUUAAGAGACGACGGGUGUUAGUUUGUGUCUUUGGUUAUCUAGCUGUAUGAGUUUUAAUUUCAUAAAGCUAGAGAACCGAAAGUACGAACUGACGCCGAGCACUUCGGAACCCAGGUGAUGAUGGGGGGGAUCCUCUCGCUCGCUCCGGCAUGGAGGAGGAAGAGGGGGAGGAGGAGGAAGCAGCAGCGGCAGGAGGAAAGCAGCAGCAGGGACGGAUGCUGAGGGGAGGCUGCACGAGGCUUCCGUGGAGGAGGAGGAGGAGGAGGUUGUGGAGGUUUUAGAGCUCGAGCAGAAACCCCCGGUGUGAUGUGAAUGUCGUUGGUCCACCUCAGGUUCAGAGGAGUCCUCCGCGUGUCUGCGAGCGCGUGAAUGUUGCUGCGUUUAAGGGGCUCGUGUUGUGGGCACCGCGGUGAUGCUUAAGGCCUAUAAUGAUGAAGAAAAUUGACAUUUCGUUGAAACGUUGCGCAUGUGGACAGUGCGCACCAAAACCUCCUCCGUGUGUUGUCGAGUAGUUGUCAUAACUGUGUGGGUGUUCUUACAUUAAUAUCUGGAGGGGCUUGACAGAAAUAGUUAAAAGAUUCCUCUGAUUGGUCCAACCUGGAAUCACGUGACAGUGUUGGCAGCAGCAGUAACUCGGUAUUUCAGAUCUCACAUGUUGGUUAUUGUGUUCUCUUUCCAGGUGGAGAAGUUAGCAUUGAGCAGCAAGGCCCCAUUAAUUAGAUUAAUUAGUUCUCUUGGGUUGCAUCUAGACUCCCUCACUCCCUUGUUUGUUUCUUUCAUUAUGUUGUUGACUAACUAUUUCCUCCUGGCUGUAAAGGAGUGUUAACUAUAAUAGUGUAAAAGGGUUUGGAAUGGUCUGAUCAAGUAUUUUAGCUCUGUGAAUUAAAAACAUACAUUUGUUUUGUUUCAGUUUUUUCAGGGUCACCUAAUGUGGGGUGUUUGACCAUUUGCUACCAAACCAAAACAUGCAGCAUAUACACCACAUCCAGAUCACCAGUGCAAACAAAAAAAAAAGAAAAACAGGCCCUAUGCACCACCAUCUUCAUCCUGUUUCCAACAUGCUCUCAUCACUGCGUUUGAAUCCGGGUUAGACAUGGCAGAUGCGUUCAAAUUUGUGUUUUGCAGGGUGGAUUAUUUUUGUGUUUGCCUGCUAGAUAAGAACAAAAUAGGACAUGGGCUCAGAGUUUGAUCUAUUCUUAGAGCGGAAUCAGCGAGCCUCGGAGAUGACUGAAUAUCCCUGAAGUCCCAGCAUGCUCUAUUUAGACCAUGACUGACAACAUUUGAUGUGCGCCGUUAGACAAGAGAGCCGGGAUGGUGUGUGAGCGAGUGUGCGUGUGUGUGUGAGUGUUGUUGAUGCUUGCAUAUGUGAACUAAUGUGCUAACAUACGAUUUGACCCCCAUGUCCUCCAUCUUGGUGUGAUACAAAGCAGAUCCUGGUGACGAUUCCACCUCAAUGGUUACAGAUUUUAGCAAAGGCAUUGUUGCGUCCUAUAAACAGUCAGUAGCAUAUGGCAACUUUGCUGCUGCUCUGGAGACAUAUACCACACAUCAUUGUUUUUUGGUGUGUUUUUCUUCUUAAUGUGUGACUCUUCCAGCGUCACUUUAUGUUUUUUGCUUUUCUUAAGCUGUUGAUUUACUGUUGAAGCAACAGAAAAUAUAAACAUGCUCUCUCAGGAGCAAAAUAAUUAAAAGUGUGUGGAGAAAAAAAAGCAAACAUGAAGUGCUGUUAGCUGCAAGGUCAACAACACUGCAUUCAUUUCUUCUUUUCUUCCACUGCAUUGAAAGCCUCUAUUUAUCCCUUAAGUGAUUUGUUUUGUUGAAAAGUAAGCAUACCCUGAUCUUCUUUUCUUUUCUUUUCUCUUGAUAGGAAAAUGACACCACCUCGGGAUAAAGACAAGCUGCCACCAGACAGGAUGAGGAGCGACAGAGAGCCUGCAGGUAAAUAUCAGAGAAACAUUGAGAAAUUAUCCCCUUGUUACAAGAUAAUGCUGCUGAAAGCACCAAGAGUUUGGGUGUUUGGGUAUUUAACCUUGUACAUAUUUUGUACGUAUCUUUGAUGUUUUGAAGUUGUCACUGUCAGUGUUUGCUAAUAGGAGCUCUCAGAUGGUUUCAUUUUUUAGAGUCUUGCAUAAGUGAUGGUGCAGCAUUCCUGGUUCUUGAUUUUCUUCCAUAUUUGUUGAGCUGUGAGGAUGGAGCUUGUUGUGUGUGUGCAUGUGUGUGUGUGUCGUGUGGGUGUUAAAAAAAAAAAAAGUCUGACCCUGUAUUUCUGAAAUAUUGAGGAUUUUCUGUUUUGCAUCAAGAAUGACUUGUGCUGUAGUGGACCACGCACGUCUUAUUCAAGCAGGAAGGAGCGUUAAGCGGGACAUUUAUAAGCUGGUUUUACUCGGCCACAGUGUAAAUGUCUGUUUUAUAUCAUCCAUAUAUGUAUCAUUCAGACUGUGUGGAGCUAUAGUACCCUACAGCACCACAGAGUAAACGCUGUGAUUUGAGCUAGUGAAGUAAGACCUCCAUAUUGAAUUCCAUCAUUCCUUUGAAGUAUUAACAUCUUUUACAUUGUACAUCACCCCCAUCCUCCUCCUACACACACACACACACAUGCACACACACGUCUCUCUUUCAUACUCUCACGUCCAGCGUUUUAUCCCUUUAAACACUGUGAUCCUAUUUGUCAGGUAGAGUGUGUGGUAGGUGCAGGGGAGGUGGCCGUGUAAUCUUUGCUGCGGUUCUUUAUCCCGUUAGGAGAACGCGUACGACGUUUGGAGCUGCUCAUGUGGAAAGAGCGUUUGGGUGGCUCUGUCCUUUUUGGCGCUAAUGCCUAGACAAGUCACCCUCCCCUCGCUCAAAGUCUCCUGAUUAUUGUGAGCAAAGUGACGGCAUGCAUAGAGGUAUGCAUGGUUUAGCGAAGGCAGCAUUAGGUCAAAGUUGGAAUAUCGUAGAUUACAAAAGGGAGCUAGGAAGUUAAGCACAGUGAGAAGUUUAUUUUUUCACUUUUAAAUCAAAAUUUAAUUCCCAAAUCUUUUGGCUCUUGAGGAAUAAAAUGUUUUGGUGUUAUUUUAGCGAGGACUGAAACAGACAUUCCUCGCUUUUCAGUUGUCUGUCUUUUCCCUCCAAUUCCACCCCCAAAAAAGUCCCACGUUAGGAAUUAAACAAUAAGUACACAUUGUUAGCAAGGUCAAAUCUUCAUGGUUCCACAACCUUGAGGCUCAAUCUAAAGCUCAGUUAUUCAAAUUUAGUGUGGCGUUCUUUAAGGCGCCCAGAUUUUCCCAAGCUUUCGAUUAGCAUAUGCAAGGGCCGGCCUGUGCUGCUGUUUUCUAAAGUGGAUGUAAAUUAUAACCUCAGUAUUAUACAGGCUGAUGGGAGAUAAAUCUCUGCAGUAAUGCAUUGCAGGGAGUGGGGGUAGGGUGGGUGGGGGUGCUGUAAAGGGGUUGUGCGUUUGUGUGUGUGUGUGUGCGAGGUACUGUACAAUAGCCGGUGGCAGAUGGAAUACAGACUAGCAAAGGGCUGGCUGAUAGCAUGCUAAACUCCCUUUUUACCGGCUUUAGUUUGUCCGAUUUUUACAGAUCCUGGACAAAAAAGCAGAGAUUUUCAGAGGAGAUACUUCUGAAAUAAAAAUGUUAAAUCAGCUACAUUACUGGCGAGAUGAAUUUGCAAGUGUGUACACAUUGUUUUAAAACAAAUAUUAACACAGGAAGAUUACUAAGUCGAAAUCUGCACUUGUGCGGUCCAAAGGGCUGAGGCUUCAGGCCUCACGAGCUGAGUGCAGAUCUUUUUGGAAUCUCUAUGCAAACUAGGGCUUGAAUAAUGAGAUGUAUUUAUGAAGGGCUGGGAAGGGGGUCCCUGCUUUUGAAAGCAAGUAGGCCGGAGCCUGAAUGGGAUGGAGGGAGGUGGGGUUGAAGGAGAAGGAGGGGGGGAUGAGGGGUGUGUGUGUGUGUGUGUGAGAAGAGGGGGUACAGGGGGCCCCCAGCAGCCCGGGCCUCGGCUGAGGCAGCUGUGAAAAGGGGUCCCGUCUUUUUCCCACGCCCAGCAAGACGCGAAACACUGCCGCGGCUCGCUAGGGUCAAGUCCCAUCGCUAAUAUAUACACGCAUACAUACACACGCACGCACGCACACGCGGGGAGAGCGAGGGAGAGUUGUGUGUGUAAAAGUUGUGCAAAUUAACAAGCUGUCUGGGAAGCUCUGUGACAUAGGGACACCUGCUAUACUCCCAGAAUGCUUUGCAGCCUCAUCAAGGGCCACUGGGACAACAAUUAGGUCAUAGCUUCAACUUGAACUUAAAAAUUGGCUGAAGAUUGAAAAGAGUCUGGAUCAUAUUUCUCUCUGCUGUUUUCGAUCUAAACGUUAAAAAAAUAAAAAUAACACUUUAAUGAUUCUGCUCUUGCUAAGUUUUAAAAAUACAGUUUCUAAAAUAGUUUUCUAAAAUAGUGAUCAUUGUUAGAUUUUGAAGGAAAACGUGCUUUUUUUUAUUUUUGCAACUCUAGUGUGCAAAAACACAAGUAAAUGCUGAAAUGUUGAACUUGUACGAUUGUUGCUGUGUCCAUUGACGCAGAGACAAACUUGGCCUUGUGCUUGAUCCGAGACCCUAACUGUCAACUUGGCAUUGUCUGUCUGCACACACCCAUGAUCCCACCCACCCACACGCACGCACACACACAGAGCUUGUCUCAGGGACACACAAAAGAGAAUUUGAACAUGAAUUGGAGGAAGGUUGGAGAAAGAUAUUGAGGAAUGUUUUAAGUCUGAACUCUGACCUUUUGUGCUUCUUUAAAUUUGAAAACAGGCACAAUGUGAGAGACCAAAAACACUGACGACCGACGAUGAGCCUGAAAAGAGAGGCAAAAAUCCUACUCUUAAAAAAUAAUCUCCUUGGUCUAAAUCUUGUGUGAAAUUGUAGUUUCUUGUUUAGAUAUCAGCUUGUAUCUUUGACCACCCAUUGUUGUUUACAGCAGCCAUGCUCCUUUCUUCCUCUUGAAGCUGGUGUCACACCCAUUCCUCCCCUCAAGAUACUGGCACACCAAUCAAAUCGGUGCAUCACUUCUUUCACUCCCCGCCGUAGCUGCAUCAGAGCGGUGUCACACUUAUUCUCUUCCCCCUGCCUACUCCAGCUACUUUCUUGAAUUCCACAUGGAGACUCUCCUGUUAUGGUUUUUAGAAUAUUAGCAAAAGCAUCCAAUCUUUUUCUUUUUUUGGUGUCUCACCCUCCUCCUCCCCUGCUCCUCCUCCUCCUCCUCUUCGUCAUCAUUUUCCCUCCUAUUCAGAGAAGUCUGAAAUAGAGAGGGGGCUCCUUCUAAUUAGCUCUGUAAAGAUGCUUUGUGGCGGUCAGUGUGGCCACCAGUGUGUGCAGAGAGAGGUGAUGUGUGACAGCUAGUGUUAGCAUUAAGAACAUGUGUAUGGGCCCUUAAUGAGGUUUGUUAGCUGAGUGUGUAUCCUGCCGUUUGAAUGCACCCUCGGCAGCCUUUGAAGGAACGGAGAUGAAGAGAGCGAGGAGGAGGAGGUGGAAAAGGAGAGAGGAGUCUUUCAGCGUGGCAGGUUGCAGAAUACAGAUUAUGCAUUAUGCUCAGUGUGGUUUCUAUUUGAACGGAAGAUGAGGGGAGCAUAAUGCUUCACUUGCACGUUGUCUGGGGAAAACGUGGGAAAUAAACGCAGGUCAUCUCGCUCAUCAGAUGUAAAGGAGUUAUUUACCUGGUCUUAUGACAUUUGCAGUGAUUCCAGUAAGUCUUAACGGUAUAAGAUAAGCGAAACAGGAGAGCGAUAGAGCUGAUUUCCUGUAAAUAUAAGAUCAAAAUUCAUCUCUAUGUUUGUAUUUUAUGUAGUUUUUUUUUAAGGUCAAGCUUAUUAACAAGAUAUAAAAAGAAAGGGUAAAAAAAAUAGUAAAUGAUAAUAUAAAAUCAGUUAGAAGAGAGCUAACAAAAACAUCCAAAUUAAGAUUAGACGCGACAAAUUUAAAUAACCAAAUAAAAUAUCUAAAGAGCCAAAUGGAGAUAUAUAACUGCACAUCCUCAAUCCUGUUAGACCAGAUCAUGUUGAUGUACAGUAUGAUUCAGAAAGGACUCCCAUACGUUAUAAAAUGUUUAAUUAUUGUCACGCCGCCAAGCUUCUGGUGCAUGAGAGGCCUUAUGCUAAUUCGUUUAUAAUAUGUAGUCAUGAAUGGGGCAAAGAAGGACAGGAGCGAACUCACUGGAAAAGAGAGCACCAUUUAUAAAUCUGUAUUGGGACACCGAAGUGUUUGGAUCACCAAUUAUUUGUUAGUUUUUCUGCUUUUAAGGAUUUUACAAUGAGGAAACACACUACUGUUCAUCCAUGGAUAGACAAUCAGGAAAUAAUAAUCAUGUACUAUGAGGUGAGAAACAAACAUUUCAGACAGAAUGUGGAGCAGAUUUGGUGGUUAUCCUGGAGAUUAGAGAUGUCGAGCUGCAGAUGAGAGCCAGAGGUGGAAGGUAGAAGCUGAGAAAAACCAGGUUGGGAAAUGAGGGAUUGUAUGGAGGCAAAGAGGCGACCUGCUGGGCUUGCCUGCUGCCUCACAGAUUGUAAACUGUCACUCAGGAUGCACACAGACAAGCAGACAGACAUCAUUUGCCCACAUCACCCUCUACUACUGAAACUGUCGCCCCGCAGCCCCCUACUGCUCCCCUUCUUUUUCCUUCCCUUCACUCCAUUUCCAGGCCUUUUUCUCCUUGGCGCGUGCACAUGCAUGUAUAUAAACUCCCUAAUCUAUUUCCUCUAUUUUCCAGCUCCUCUCCUCUACUUUUCUCUCUGUCUCCGGGUUUUCCGUUGAUGAAAUGAGUCAGCUUGCAGCAUACUCUCCCCUCUCAUUGUUCGCUGGUUCGUUGCCUCUCCAUAGGAGGUAGAGAGUGUUUGGGCUCUUUCCCCUGUUUUACCAGUUUACCAGUGUAAUCCUUUACAGCGGCACAAUGAGCUCUCACUCCAGCCGCAGGAUUCUAUUAGGCUCCCAGAGAGACAUGGGAUCUCCAUAAACAUUUUCCAUCUGCCCCUGAACCCCCACCCACCCUCCCUACACAACCUAUACCACCUCAAACACAGCCAAAAUAAUACUUUCCUUUAUGCAUUAAAAGCAGAACUCUGUUUUUUACCCAUCCACAGAGAAGAGAGAACAAAAUCGUACACACGCACAUUACAAACGACUUGUUAAUGCUGUCAGCUUCACUCCCAAAACAGUGGUCUUUUACAACUGCAGAACGAAUAACAAGCAGCCGGGGACAAGCAAAUGCUUGUUAUAUGGUCUUUGGAGGAAAACAGAAGAUGUUUAAAAAAAAACGCUGAAAUCAGAGGAGGAUGUGAUUUGUGCUCCGUGCUGAAAGUACAAUGCCGUUAAAGUGUGCGGAUAAACUCCUCAAUCUGUUAUCUCAUGCUGGUGGUGCAGAUCAGAGUUGGAGCCGGUUUUGUGUUUCAGUGAAAACUUUAAAAAAUGUACAAAAAUAAGUCACUUUAUUUGAAUCCGGUAGAAGAAAGUAGUUCAGGAAAACAGCUCAGCACUAGUAGAAGAGCACAUCUUCAGAUUCAAAUACUAGAAUCAGCAACACAUAGAAGCAGCGUUUAAUGAAAACUCCUUCAACUUUGGGUUUAUUAACUUGGGUGAGCCUUUGAUCAAAGCUGUUUUUGCUUAUCUUGUUUUAUACAUGAGUGUAAGUGUUUUCUUUUCUCCUCUUUUUUCUUUUAAAAGUCACAUGUAUCACUCAUUGUGAAUCUUUGCUCAGAAAAUGUUGCUCCAGCAGUGUGCGGUACUUUGUCUUACACCCACAGCAGCAAUUUUAAGUAAAAACUUUAAGAGUUUUUAGGCAACUGGAAUUAAUAUUGUGCCAUAAAAUAUUUCAACCAGCUAUGCACUCAAAAGUCAGCCUGCUGCCUCAUACAGACUUUUUGACCUCUCGAGACACAGGAAACCAAACGCAUUGGUAGCUGAUUUUAAAGUUUUUUAUGUAUUUUUUAUGUUCUAUACAUGCAGUCAUGGCUAAUUCUGAAAACAAUCCCCCAAGAUUCAGACAAAUAGUUGAGUAAAUAGCUGAUGCCUUGUGUGCUGUUUUAAACUCUGCCUUGAACAAAUAGAGCAUGCAGAAAUAGUUGACACACAUUCACCGUGUUAUAAGAGCAAUCAGGACAAAGACUGCUGUGCUUUUUUUUUUUUAUCAAAUAAAAUUCAUAAAGUGUCCUGUUCUAGUUUCCAAUCAGAAGCAGGAGCUGACUGAGGCGAUGAGCAGCCUUUGAUUGACCUUAAACGAAGAAUCUGGUCCUCGAAAAAAGACAAAUCAGGAUUAUUUGAACGUUUUUUUGUGAAUUGCCAAAUUAAAGCCCCAGUGAUGACUGACCUGAUACUGACUACUGAGGGCUACUUGAUUUAUCUUCUUUAUUGAAUCUGAUUUUGUGCUUGAAAUUGAUGUAACUCUUGAGGCUUCCUCAGAUGUAGAGUUAACCCUUAAGUCUAACUUUGUUAUUCUGUUAAAUGUGAAAGAAUAAUCACCUUUAACUCUUAAAAAUCCCAGCCUGUGUAUUGCUGCUGAAAUGCAUUUUUUUCAACAUCCCCCUGAUUUGUUCAAGUCCAAAGCCACGGGUCACACAGUGCUUCUUUCUCCCCCCCUCCGUCCCUCUCUUGCUCCUCCUCAUACACAAACAUAUCCCUCCAUCUCCUGUCGGCCUCCCUCCUCCUGCCCCUCCGUCCUUCCCUCUCCUCCUAUCUUGAUAAUGCAGCUCUUUUCUCUCUGUCGGGGUGGAGGGCUGCCUGAACCAACAUUGUCCCCUAUGCCGGCUCUAGUGGGGGGCCCUAUUGUGUGUGAAGGAAUGGGGAGUUAACACCCAUGUCUGAACCUGCUCAAUGGGUGCAUUGUGUCUGAAUCUUCCCUCGGCUCACCCAAUCUCACCCUGCGUCUCUCCUGCCCUUGCACGGGCCAAGGAAGGCAGGGUGUCCUCCAUGUCCUCAGCCAUUAAAAACAGAAAACAUAAACACAACUCAAAACUCACAAACACUCAAACUGGUAUUCUCAGCUCUUUGCUUUCUGUGUCCGGUUGAGUUUUCCAGCAAACUGCAGUGGGUUCAACACACUCCUGCACAAAAAGUGGGGGGUCAGUGGGUGCAUGGUUACUAAAGGAGGCCCCUGCGUCUCGUUUUUGUUAUAGAACAGAACAGAGAGAUGUAUAAAGGACAAUAUUGUAUUAGCAUGAUAACAGGAUUCAGAUGCUUUUUGAAAUAUCUCGAGUUGUAGGGCGUCGAUUGAAUCGGCUCAAAUUAUUACGUUAGAUUCAGCAAAGUUUCAAAGCAAAUCGUUCAAAAGAAUCUGAGGCAUGAUUAAAAAAGAUAUUAGACAUAAUGUUGAACCCUAUUGAAGUAUAAAGUGGAUUUUUUAUUGUGAGUUUUAAUGAGAGUGAUUUAUAUUUCAGGUUAAACAUUUAAAACAAUGAGCAGAAAUGGACUCGUCUGUUUCAGUAUUCUGAACAUUUAUUUGUUUCUGUAGCAGCGAGAGCCUUGGGGCAGGUUACAAAAGAGCAAGUUGGUGUUUUCUUCCCACAUAUUUUUAAUCAAAGUGUUAGUGUUUACAUUUGCAUUUGCAUUGAGCACAGGGAGGCUGAAUGCCAAAGGUGAGAUUUUGAAAAACACUCUAUUUUCCCUUUUUUUGCAGAUGGAAACAAGGGUGGGUGGUUGGAAGGCUGCAUAAAGGCUGCUGGAUGACUGAACUCAGAGACCCGGUGCAGCUCAUCAUCAUUGCCACGGGCUUUCGUCUUCCUCCUCUUUCUCCUGUGGCCCCGUACCAUUCCAUCCAGGGGUCCAGCAGAGCCAGCGAAGCCCAGGCGGGGAGCUUGUGAGUGGGCUGGGAAGGAUGGAGAAGCUCCCUGAAGGCUCGGAGCACCUCUGGAGCUAGCGGCGUGCAGGAGAAAUCAAUAUGAAACACAGAGCGCUGCACAGCUCUGAGUGGGGUUUCCUGUGUUAGUCUGCGGCCUCGGGGCCCGCAGACCUCCAAAGGACAGGCCCUGCAUGGCCCCUCUCAGCUGCAGAACCGGACCUCAGUUCCGAUCUCCGCUGGCUGUGUGUGGUUCUGCUGAAGGGGAUUGCUCCCCAAAUAAUACCCAGAAUGUGGAGAGACCGCCGAGAGGGAUAUUUCUUUUUCUCUUGAUUUUUCCUUCCUUCAUAAGAUUGACAUAUCCCCCACCUCCUGCCUCCAGCUGCUUAAAAACCAGUUUGGGAGAUCUGCUUUGGACUCUCUCUCCGUUCUCAACUCACCCGCUGUUUAUUCCCUGACCAGUUUUUAGAUUUGACAAAGAGACAGUACGAUCUUUAUUUUCUCCUCCACUUUCUCUUGGCUUGCAGUUACCAUGGUGAGCUGUAGAUGUGUCUGUUACGACCAGAAACGCAGGUACACGAAGUUUCAGCAUCUUUUUUUUUUUUUUUUGCUCCUCCAUGAUGUCUGCUCUUCAAUGCAAGACUGUAAAAAAAAAGUUCCCAACCACAGAGAGGGAGGAAGAUCACAGAGCAGAGAGACCCUGACACUCUGUAGAGGAGCUGGUGAAAUGGCAAGUAUCUCUCUUAAGCACUCAACAUAUUCCACUCCAUGAACAGCUCUCAGUGUGCUCUCAUUAAGUCAAACCCUGCCUCAUAUGGUGCUGCAUGUGUGUGUUUGUGCUCCCUUGUACCUCACAUGGUUCAGGGGGAUGUCAAUUACAGCUUCAAACAGAGGUUUCCCAAACUCUCAGAAAUACUUAGAAGUUAAAAAAGUUAAUCGGCAUAUUUUCAUCAAACCCCUCUGAUCAGUUGAAAAAACGUGUUUCUGUAUUCUCCAGCACAGAGCGCUCUGUUUGUGUGUGUAAGUGGUCUGUAUACGCUCCCAUUUGAACGGGUUUGCCAGUGUGCAGCAGCAGCAGCAGCAGCAGCACCCACAGCUCGUCAUCACAGCGAUGCAGUACGCCUGUUCCCAUCCAGAUGGGCACAGAUUCAGACAAAAUGGCCGCCAGUCUUCCCACUCUGCCAAAGAUGGCGGGCGCAACUCUGUCGCCUGCCAUCUGUGCAUCCGUUAGCUGUUGUCCAAUGCAAAUCAGGGCUAAUUGCAUUUGCAUAACCUCCAAACCGUCAGGUCGUUUGCACGCUCUGGUAAUUGCUCGUAUGAAGCGACGGCGUAGAUGACGUUCAAGCAGAAGCGCGUUCGUGUUUUAGCGUGUUUUGGGGCAUAAGUGUGUGGGUUGUUUUUUUUUAGGUUGUGGGUUUUGGCGUGCUGAAACAUGUCUGAUCGCUCCCUGAGAUCAAGAGUGUGGUCGUUCUGUGCCAUAUGGCGUGUUUGCGUGUGAUUCCCUUGCAUGCAAAUGUGACACUGUACUGAAAGAUUAAGUCAAAGCUGUUUUAGAAUCAGAGCUCUGUCACGCACACACACACAGACACACACACAUACAUAAUACACAGAUGAAAGCAUUAAGCAAAUAGAGCAGCUCAGACAUGCUCACAGGCUUUAAUUAAAAAGGGAUCCAUAGGCCCAACAAACUCUAGACACACCGCCAUCGUAAUAGUCUCAUAUUCAUGCACGUUGGUGUCUGGUUACCAUGGCGCUAAACAAAUGGGGGAAAUGGUUAAAUUAGCCGCACAUGACACGAUAAAUAGGUGAUAAAUUCUCCUGGUGAAGAAUGAUAUCAGUGUUAUUUCAAAGGAAUACAGAGUGAGACAGAAACGAUAGAUCUGCUGAAGGAUCAGCUGGAAAUAUUUCACCCAGAGAUCCGAUAACCUGGUGAAUACUGUUCGGAUCUGUUUAUGUAAUCAGACUGAAGCGCUGUGAAAUUGAAUAUCUCACGUUUCUGCUUUUCCACCACUGUGUCGCUUUCGAAGUCUCAUUUGAUUGAGCCGCUCUUGUUUUUGGGGGGCGUUUAUUCAUGUGAUGAGAGUCGUCUUUGUAACAAGGCGGCGCUCGUAUUUGCAUUCGCCCAUCGGGGCAGCUGCAGUGCUGUACAGUUAUGUCUACUGUGGGCAGCAAAAUGGCGGUCACGCAAAUCACAGGGUCUGUCUGCUGGUCGUGGGAGCUGAGGCGAGAGAGGAGGGGGAGGAGGAGGAGGAGGGGGAGGAUUUCAGGGCGUCUGGUUUGAGAAUAUGAGGGAAGGUUGCAGGGUCUAGACUAUGGGGUUGGGGGGGUCGCUCAUGAGGGGAUGAUGGAGUGGGGGGGGGUAUUUGUAGAGGUUAUUAUUUGAAGGGGGGGGUGUCUGGUUUUAGGAGGAGCAAUUAAUGAAGGAGUGAAGAGGAGAGGAGGGGGUUUAGUUUGUCUGCAUUUGUGAACAUGUGUCUGUGUCUCGGACAUUUGCAUAGAGCAAAGAGGGCGUCCAUAUGCCGCGCGGCACGGGGAGGCGAGGCGGGUCUGUCAUUUCAGGGUCUGAGCUGAGCGAAGACCUUGCCAAACACCCAGGAACACACACUUUACCACAGUCCUCACAAUAACUCUGAAGCACUCCUACCAUGCUAGAGCCUCAUGUUAGCAGCAUCACUGUUUCUGUCCUUUUUACCAGCCAAUGAGGGGACGCGGAGCUGCUUUCAGCCAAUAACGGCGCGUAAAGACCCAGGAAGAGGAAGGGAAGGCGCGGAGAGUUUACCCUUGAUGUGCCAGGCGAGAGAGGAUAAACAAUAAAACGCUUCUGCGCGGAGAGAGAGAGAGAGAGAGAGAGAGCACAGGGGGAGGAAGAAAAUGAGCAUCACUCUGCAUUCAUAACCCAGUUGGAAGGCAGAAAGAUAGAAAAUAAAGCAGCUGAUUAUGGGGAAAUAGAGAUCGAACGUCACACAUUUUCUUUGUAUGCCAGACACAGGGUGGUAGAAUGAUUACACGUCAAUCUGAGGGGUACAAAGGCAAAGAAAAGCCCCCCCUCCGCUGAAAAGAAAUGGAGUCAUGAAGACGGCGAGAGCUGCCAGGCAUAAAAACAUAACAAAACUCUUUAACAGGAGCGGAAAGAGGAACAAAAUAUUCCUUCUAAAAUGAUCUCUGUUGAAGAGUGCACUCUUAAUGUGAGGCAAAAAUGAUCAUAAGAGUGUUUCAUUUUCUGCUGUAAAAUCAGACAUGGGAUUUUUAAAACCUAGAUUUAUUAUUCAUGUGUUUAAACAGGACCUUCGUUAUAUCGUUGCUACACAAACGAUAUUCCAGUGUUGCCUUUAGCUCAUGAAAAGAGACACAGAAGAAUUACAGCAUUUUUAAAAAGUCUGUCUCAUAUUUUUAGAGUCACAAAAAAUCUGACUUUAUUUAAUUCAGACCUUUAAUUACUACACAUUAUAUUAAUUUUACAUAAUAGAUUUCAGUUUUUAAUAAUUGCAGUUCUCUUUUUAUAAAAUUUAAACAUAUCCGAAUUAAAGUAGUUCAUUUCAAGGCGAGAGGAAAGGAAAGAAAGGUCUCUCUCUCUCUCUCCAUCUGAGAAGAAAUGAAGUCAUGUAUAGACAGGUCGUGGUCGUCAAAAGGCCUUAAACAUGCAGACAUCCAGACACAGACACAAUGCAGAUCUCCAUAAUGUGGCACAUGAAUACUGGCACGUUUAAACCACGAUCGUCUCGGAGCUGAGGGUCUGAGUGGAGCGUGGGAAUGUGUGGCGAACAUAUGCAGAACAGUCAGGCGCUGGCGAGACGGCCCUGCUAGCAUGAAUGCUGUCGUAGCAGGUGAAAAGAGGACCCUAGAGUUCAGGGGUCAAGGCCAGUGCAGGGGCUGUCUGGCUCAUGUGUGUGUGUGUGUGUGUGUGUGUGUGUGUGCGUGUGUCUAUGUGUGUGUGAGAGAGAGAGACACGCACACACUCUGGUUGUCGUCUGGGUCUUGAUGCUAAUGAAGUAGCCCGGCUGUUUGAUAAGCACUGCUGUCUAUUGUUAGCCCAGUCUGGUGCUUCAGAGAGGACUAGACGGGGUGUAGGUUUGGACAAGAGCUCCUUCAUCAUGUUCUAGUCGCAGCAGAGCAGCAGACAGGCAGAUCGACAGGCAGCCUGAAGUCAGGCCUCCCCUGCUGAAACUCUGAUUGUGUUGUCUAGAAGACUUCUGUGCUUUCUCUGACGUUCCCCCUCUGAGUGACACGUUGGUCUAGGGCUCUGCAGUGUGGUGCCGCUCUUUGUUUCUCCGUGGAUUGAUGGCAGAUUCGCACGACAACUCUGCAUUUCAGUGACUGGUGAAAAUUGUCAAGAUCACAUAGGCUUUAAGUAUAUAUUUAAAUAACAGUUUGCAGUUUUUUUUCUGCAGCUGUGACUUGUGUCAUAUCAAACCUUGGAUACCCUCUAACUUCAGACCUUUGUAACAUCUUUGGUAUCGUCAGAGCGUCAACUAAUCCCACAAAAGCCUCUGUCUAAAUUAAAUGAUUAAUCCUCAUAUUAGCAAAGCUGUAAACAGAACUAUUUAAAGCAGCACUAUUGGACACACACUCAUACAAGAUGUUGGCUCCUUUGUUGCUGUCAACCUGGGCUCCGUGGUUUGUUUUGAUUUAAUACCCAGCCUUCCAUGAAUACCAAUUAGACAUCAGAUGUGUACUAAUCUGCGGCUUAAAUUAGUCUCAGACGUCCGCCUGGUUUAUUCCUGUUUAAGCAAGGUUCAAAAGAAAUAAGAGUAAAUAGUUGUUUUAAGGAACAACUUGAAAAGGUCAUAUUUAUUUCUUUAGUUUUGUGUUUUUUUUCAUGGGUUUUGUCGAUCAUCACGUCGAUAGUCUUACACUUUUGAACCUCAGAGUUGAAAAAGUUUUGUUCCCAUCCAGAGCUUUGUCAGAUUCAUGUUUCAGCAGGAUUGUACCCACAGCAGAUUCAUAGUUGACACCUCCCGGUCGACGUAAAGGUGCGUUACUUCUAGAUACCCCUUUAAGAGUUAAAGCAUUACCUCAUCAGGAGCUGUGUAAAGGCAGGAAGUGAGUGAAUGGCUGAAGGAGCGCAGUGCUAACUCUCUCACUCCUUUAUGCCUGUGGCUGCAGGCUUCAUUAGCUCGACAGAAAGGCACCGCUCGCUCCCCGUCCCCUCAAUAGACCCAUAGACCUGUCUCGCUGGCACAGGCUUGCUCCAGUGUGCAGCGUAUGUGUGUUUGAGUGUGUGUCCCUGAACCAUUCACACACCUCCAGGCUUCAUAGUUUCUCAGUCAUGCCUAAAGGAAGCUGGGCAUUGACACUUUUUUGAGACUCACAUCUUUGUCCCCCUCCACCUCUUGUUUUCUGCCACUCGCUCUCCAUUAUUCUCCAUUUCACUAUUUUACUCAUUGUGUUUUUUUUUCUCUUUCAGUUGCUUUUACUCCAAAAUGUCUCAGAUCUCUAACAGAACGGAAUAUUUAGUCAGGGACCAUAUGUCGUACUCGGCUCAGACUUUUGUGUCCUUGCAGCAGUUUGACGCCAUUUCCAACCUGAAUCAUUUUACUUUAGUUUGAAUUUCCCUGUCAUUCUCCAAACUUUGAGUGAAAUCUCCGUUUACUAAACAUUAUAUUGAAAAAUAAAGAGGCUCUAUAACAAUUAAAACUACUUCACAAAAAAUCUAAAACUAGCACUGUGAAAAAAAAGCAGCUUUGGCAGUUUUUUAGAUGGUAAAAUGGAUCAACUGAGUCCUUUUUGAAUGGAUUUGUUUAGCUUUUGCGUUUAGCUGCAGUACUGGAGAUAAUGAAUCAUCAGUAUACCUCUAACCCCCCUUAAAAUAAAUAGGUCAACCAAAUCUAAUGCUGUUGUGCUGCAUUAAACUAUACUGUAUUUUCUGUCCAGUCUUUCCUGUAUCUGUGAUGACACUUGACCUUUAGUUUAUGUCUGUAAACCAUUUUGGACAGUGGGGGUAAAAAAAAAUGAGCCAUCGUCUUAAUGAGAUGGAAACGCAGAUAUCGUCACAGGUCCGACUGAUGCAUAUUCCUGAAAUCCUCCCCAUAGCGCCUCUGUUUCCCAUCAGGCACUGAGCUGAGGCAGCUACCAGGGGUCCUCAUCCAUUGAGGAGGAGGAGGAGGAGGAGGAGACACGUGCUGCGUCCGAACUGCCCGCUCGGAUACUACAUGCUACUGCUACGUACUACUGCUAGAUCCUACUCCUACAUACUAAAAACGUUGGCCCAAUUCGGACACACUAGACGAGCGGUGGGGAAAGACGACCCCCGCAGGCAGAGAGUAGGUACUGCGCCCGUGCAGACAGUGGUAACUGAAGCUCCUCAUCUGCGGGCCUGGCUGUAGUACUGCAGCUGUGCAGUUUAAUGAUGGAAUAAGUGAGCUUUACCUCCAUGAUGUCGCCACAUAUUUGCUCAUAAAAUGAUUACUUGGGCAAAUAUGACACCAUGACAUGACAAAGAGAUACAACCGCACAUUUUUUAGGACAGUGUGUGAAGUUACAUGAAACUUAAAUCUGUACUGCUGCGGUCCCGCCUGCUGCUGCUGCUGCUCCGACAUGGUGCGCGCUGCUGUGGCCAGCCGGCGUUCGCGACACUUUUAAAUAGGCAGAGCAGCUGGUGGCGCUAGCAUCACAUGCGCUUCUACAACUUUUAAGAGGACGAAGAAGAAGCCCGCGGUGCAUUUUGGGUCAGUAGCAUGCCCGUAGGAUGCACCGAGACCAACCUACAAUGUGGGCGUGUCUAGCAUCUGAAGUAGUAUCUGAAGUAGCAUGCUACUCGCUCCGGUGGCCAAUUCGGACAUGCUAGAUACUACUUCGACUACUACUUCGACUACUACUUGGCAAUUCGGACGCAGCUACGUACACGAGGAAAGGUGCUAGCAUUCAUGAUUAGCAUGUGCAGCCGCCAUCGUGUGCUGAGCUCAUUGUUGUUGAUGCUGCAUUAAUGAGGCCGGUUUAUAUCAGACGGUCUGUUCACGACACACAAUCAUGAACACGCAUUAAACAGAGCCUGGGUGUGACACAUGACAGCACGCACCCCACACUCGCCCUGUUUUUAGACUGCUCAUGAGUCAGCACCUGCCUUCACAGGUGCAAAAUUUCAUUGGUGCCAUUUUUUGUAUCAUAAAUUAGUUUAUAUUGAAUAAAGUCAAAGUGUAAAAUAAUUGAGGGGGUUUUAAACACACCUGAUGGUGAUUUUAAAUCGUCGAUGUCAGGUCCAGUCUGUGUCAAAGCUCUGAAGAAAAUAAACUCUGAAAGUAGAGUAAUGAAAAGUUUGUUAUAGUCACAGAAAACUGCAGCUUUGACUCAGAAAUAGAAACCGUCAUAGAGAGAGAGAGAGAGAGAGGGAGGGAGAGAAAUGAGAGUACAACACUGUGGCCUGGUUUGUGGUUCCAGAGGGAUAGAGACACUUUCCUGUUCCCUGCAAAAUGAGAUAGGAUGAGCUCUUUUAACACAGACACAAAUGCAUACACACUAACACACUCAAACACACACACACACACACACCUUGUUCAUUCCUUCUAACUGUGCCUGGUCUACAUUUGUGCAGCUUUGUUGUCGCGGCAGCAGGAAACUGAUUGCCCCAGAUUUAAGCGAGCCUCCUUCACAUAUGCAGCAGUUAGCUGUCAACUCUCAAAACGACUCCGAUCAUCAAUUUUUUCUUUUUUUGUUUGGUUUUCUGUGUCACUUUUCAUCGCAAGUGUGAGUGUGUGUGUUUGUAACAGACAGUCUGACCUCUGACCCCGACCCGCUGGGAGGCUUUCAUUCCCAUAGGCUGGGGGCUGUGGUUGUCUCGCUCUCUCUCUCCCUCUCACACACACACACACUGCCGGCUCUAUUGGUUAAGCGGUCCCUCGGCCACCCAUUCAGGGCUCAGUCACGGCCACUUAGAGCGCAGCAGACACAGGGAUUCAGAUGAGCUGUGAUCCAAUGACAUGUAUUUAUAAUGAGGGGGCUGUGGGGACGUCUUUGUUUGAUGGACACAAUGUCUGCACAAGAGUGUGUUUGAGUGUGUUAUAAGUUUGUGUGUUUGGUGGAGAGGGGGAAUUUCUGUGUCUUUUUACACUUUCUCUACUCAUUCAACUCUCACACACACAUUCAGACUUUUUCUUUCUUGCCUUCAAAAUUUGCAGAAAAGACUGACUUUAUUAUUUAGCCUGAAAAAAAUCAAUCAAGAACUUGCUGGGACAGCUUCUAGUGAAAAUUAAGUCUCUUGUUAAAGAAAGUGAGUGAAAUAAGAGUGAAGUUUACAAUCACUUUUGCUGCCCCAAUGGCAGAUAUUUUCACACAUUACAAGCGUCUCAGGUCUUUUUAUUUUUAGUUUCCAACGUCUUGAAAAAAGACUUUUAUCUGGUGGCCUAUAUUAGUGCUCUUGAAAUAUUUGAGAAACACACUUGGCUUAGUGUGAGGCUGUGGAGUAUGAUCUAUUGAUGAUCACAUUUUUCUCUUGUUUUAUGAAGGGCCUGUGUCCACUAACGGUAUCUUUUGCAUAGGCAGCACCUAUUUUCUGAUAAAUAAACAAACAAAUAAUAGAGCUCAGUAUUUAAGUACAGAACAUCCUUGGUUCCCUGUCAGCUGUUUUUCUGUUGCUGCACUUAGAGUUGAAAUAGUCCAACUUUUUAGUACUAACAUACUCUUCAGAGUAAAUCUUUCAUUGAUCAAAAUAGUCAAGAAGAGGCGGGACUUCUGAUAUCAACUUACUCAAUAACAAUAGCCACAAAGCAGAGGCAGAAGUACUGAACAUCGUUUGUUAUCCAACAGCAGUGAGUAAGACGUGAGUGAGAAAGUGGGGUCUUGUGGGUGCUGCCAGUGCAGAGACUGCUGUCGGUGGACAUAGGCCCUAAAAAAAGCUUUGACUAGACUGUUCUGAUGUUCAGUUCAGGCCAGGAUUUAUAAGAUUUGCAGCAAUAGUUAUCUUAUAAAUUAAAUUUUUGAUACCAAUAUAUUUUGAGGAAAUCAAAAUUAAAAAGUUUACACCAUCAGCUAUAUAAUCACUUUUUUAAAACAGUUUAUGGUGACAGAAACAGUAAUGAAGUAUUUCGUGAAUAAAAAGUGUAGAUGAUUUUUGAACUAUGAUUAUUUUGAAGCUCACACCAGUCUGAGUCUUGUUAGCCAGCCAAAUCAAGGACAGUAAUAACUUUUUUGAUAAGGAGGAAACUGUCAUUAUUUUUUUGUCUUUUACAAACUAAGUAAUUUUAGAAAUGUGUGGCAGUAUCAUUAAAACAGUGAAAACACAAAUCAUUGUGAGUCCACCCAAUACAAGUACGUCUAUGUGUGCUGAGGGAGUGUGGUGUGUAGUCAGAGCUGCAGUCUGAUCUCUGCCUACAUUAGUCAGUGGUUGGGACAGCGUGGGCAGAAGAAGAGCCCUGGAGGGUCCUACAAGCUGAGGAAGGCCCCUCAUAAUGACCAGUGUCUGAAACACUGCCGCUACCCAGGGACCAGUGUCUGAUUCUGAUGUACUCAAUCACAACCAUAAUCACAACCCCAGCCUCCUCACAGCCCACACUCAACUCCAUUUUUGCUGCCUAUCAGUCUGAACUGUUGGAGUAUAAUCAGAAAUUUACAAAGUGUCAUUCCACCUUUUCCAGCCUGACGUAGAUUGGGACUUUACCAAAGGUCUUACACAUUAUUUAAAAGUGCAUCUGCUGUUGUUGUUUUUUUUUAUAUUAUCUAUGAUGAUUAAAAGUCUCGACAAAUGAGGAUGAAGUCCCUUAUCUUGGCUGGUUGACUUCUUAUCUUGUUCAGUCAUGACGGUGCAAAACCAGACAGUGGAAGUGUGUCGGCUGUCUGUGUGUGUCUGCUCUCUCGGGUGUAAUCAUGGGUUCCCCGGCUGACUGCGUGUCCCAUAGUGAUCUCAGACUUCAGAGGUCAGAGGUCAUUUAGUGUGGGCUCCGAUAUAGACAUUAUGUAGUCAUGACGAGGGACUACCACUUGAACCAACACUGUCCCAUUUUUUUCUGUGUUAUGUUGAAACUGCUGCGUCAGCCUGUGGUGUGACAGAUGGACAGAAUUGUUCACUGUUAGAGCUCAGGUGUACAUUUAUCAGACGUCUGUGGUUCUUAAUUUAAAAAUACAGAAAGAUUUUUGUUGUGCAUUUUCUUAGCUGCACUCGCUAAUUUCCUCCAUUGUCUUGUCUCUCUGCAGGUUCAACAAUGUGAGGAAAAUUCCUGGUGUAAAAAACAUCGAACUCAAACUUGACCGGACUGGAUUACAUGUUUUAUUCUGGAAAAUGAAGGACUCUUACAUACACGAAUAUAUUUUUGUUAAAAAAAGGGAAUACUUUGCUUUGAGCUCCUGUAAACCCGUGAAGAUGAACCUCUAAAUCUGGACUGAAUCAAAGAAGAAGACAAGGAGAAUUUUGUCAUGUAACAACAUUUUUUACACCAGCUGUACCUUCUUUUUCUGACAGUGAAAAUAUUUGUGUGUGAAUAAUCAAUAAAUGGGAAUGGAAGAUAAGCAACAUUAAAUGUUUUAUUUUUCAACUGUAUCAAUAAUUAUCAAUGGUGAAUAGUAAGAGUCAGUUUACUCGAGUACUGUAACACAUUUUUUGAGUAUUUGUAUUUCUGUAUCUGGCUGAUAUUUGAGUCCUCUACAUUUUCUACGAUUCUUCUCAUUUCUUGCUAUUUUUGCCCUGAAGUCAGCUAAUAAACUUCCUUUUCUUUUCUGAAAUCCAAAUGUUAAGACGUGCUUGUUGAGUUCUUGUUGUUGCUGUAUCUUUCAAUCGUACAUCUGUAUUGUUAAAGAGACAAACGCAAACACAGAUCAGAUCAGGCAGUUCAUUUUAAUGUGGUGUUGAUUGCUACAGCAGUAAUUGUUUGCUCUGUUUACCUCUUAAGAACUUCAUUAUGAUUGACAAACAUUAGCUUUUUCAAUGCUUUCUUAAUCCAUGUCAUAAAAAACGGCCUGGUGAGCAUUUAAAGUUGUAUUUUAACAAAAUAAGCUGUGGGUUUAAAAAUUGUGUUAGUCUGUAUUAGUAAAAAAUGUAAACAUAGCAUGGGAAUUAAUACAGACCAUCACAUACUUGAGCAUGGGUACCAUUUUCAUUCUGUAAAACAUCGGAAUACGUACUUAUGAAAUCACAGACUUUUUCCAUUAUAGCACUUGGAGGACUUAAAUCAAAUAUAUUCGAGGUGAUGAUUACACAUUGAUCUUCUGAUCAGGAUAAUAGCAUCAUAUAAUAGGUUGUCACAGAGUUUUGAAAAGAAGGUUUUGUUUGACAUAUUUCAGGUGCUAACACCCCUGUAAAGAAGUAAAAAAAAAACAAGUGUGUCUCAGCAGCUACACAGUUAUCAAGUUCAAAAGGCCUUGAAGCUGCUGAAAUGGCUGUUUGAUAAAACUUCACCCAGUAAAGCCUGGCUGACUGUUACACUGGUGAUCAGGCGUUUUUUUUUCCCGCCAUUUCUCCAUGUAAUUUUGGACUUGAGUAUAUGAGUUAAAAAUGUAAAAGAUGUUUUUUAAAUCAAGAAAACAUUACAGAAUAUGCACCCAUAUAUUCUUGAUUGUACUCAUGCAUGAUGAAAAUAAAAUGUUUUGGGAUUUUUUUAUCAAGUACAUUAAAUACUGAAGUAUCUUUAAAAGACUCCAGUAACAAAUGACUGAGCAUCUUUCACUUUUGUUGGAGAGAUAUUUGACGAGGUUUAUCUAUUAUUUGACUCACAUGAUGAAGUGGUGAACAUUGUCCACCAAUGAAAAUGUAAUUGGAUAUAUAAUAAUUUGUUACCUUUUCUCUCAGGUACUUACAAUCAAGCUAAAGUGGUUUUUUCACCAAGAGUUUAAAAUCAUGACGAAAUUCAUCACCUCUUCUUUUAAAGUUUGAGUUUUCACUAAUGCUCCUCUUGUCAAGAAUGAGUGCACUGAAAAGUCUUUGACACACAACCAGUAACUAACGGAUAGAUCAGCAUUGCUUUGGUUUAUUUAUAUAAAUUUGUAUGUUUUCUUAUUCACAUGGUGAAAAGUCUGUGUUUUUUUUACAAUUAUUUAUACGGUCAAUAAAAAGAGGACUGACAGAC
rnacentral:lncRNA from 1 species